UUUUAUUGAUAUCAUCAUUUGCUCUUUUAAAAUUAACCCCUUAGACUGGCUAUAUGGUGUAAAUGAUAUCUCUUUUUCAAGUGUUAAAUGGCCAAAGAAAAUCAGUGACGAAUUCAGAAGGAAGUGAACAAAAGAAGAUUUAUACUGAAGGGGGACUUUUGUGAAGCUUGCUGGGGCAGUGAUCCAUGACCUUACUAGCCUUGACCAUACGUCUCACUAUUUGGUUACUUCGAGUAAACAGUCGUGUCUUGCUCAUGGAGUUCUUCCUUAUGUUGCUGCUACUAAAUCUUCAGUGUCGGUUCUAGCUUGAAGUCUAAUGGUUGUUGGUGCACAAUCGAAGAGCCAAAGUCUUCAUUUAAAAGGUCUUUUCUAAGCUUCCUCGAGCCACACACCUACGAGAAGUGCAUCUCAGGGUGAGAAGGAGACAUGGCGG
rnacentral:lncRNA from 1 species